rnacentral:rRNA from 1 species
AUUAACAACUUCAUCAACCCUGUGAACAUACCUAAAACGUUGCCUCGGCGGGAACAGACGGCCCCGUAACACGGGCCGCCCCCGCCAGAGGACCCCCUAACUCUGUUUCUAUAAUGUUUCUUCUGAGUAAACAAGCAAAUAAAUUAAAACUUUCAACAACGGAUCUCUUGGCUCUGGCAUCGAUGAAGAACGCAGCGAAAUGCGAUAAGUAAUGUGAAUUGCAGAAUUCAGUGAAUCAUCGAAUCUUUGAACGCACAUUGCGCCCGCCAGUAUUCUGGCGGGCAUGCCUGUUCGAGCGUCAUUACAACCCUCAGGCCCCCGGGCCUGGCGUUGGGGAUCGGCGGAAGCCCCCUGCGGGCACAACGCCGUCCCCCAAAUACAGUGGCGGUCCCGCCGCAGCUUCCAUUGCGUAGUAGCUAACACCUCGCAACUGGAGAGCGGCGCGGCCACGCCGUAAAACACCCAACUUCUGAAUGUUGACCUCGAAUCAGGUAGGAAUACCCGCUGAACUUAAGCAUAUCA